UCCACCGAUUGACUAAGGUUUCCAGAGGAAGGCUCGUCCGCUCUGGGUUAGUCGGGUCCUAAGCUGAGGCCGACAGGCGUAGGCGAUGGAUAACAGGUUGAUAUUCCUGUACCACCUAUAAUCGUUUUAAUCGAUGGGGGGACGCAGUAGGAUAGGCGAAGCGUGCGAUUGGAUUGCACGUCUAAGCAGUAAGGCUGAGUAUUAGGCAAAUCCGGUACUCGUUAAGGCUGAGCUGUGAUGGGGAGAAGACAUUGUGUCUUCGAGUCGUUGAUUUCACACUGCCGAGAAAAGCCUCUAGAUAGAAAAUAGGUGCCCGUACCGCAAACCGACACAGGUAGUCAAGAUGAGAAUUCUAAGGUGAGCGAGCGAACUCUCGUUAAGGAACUCGGCAAAAUGACCCCGUAACUUCGGGAGAAGGGGUGCUCUUUAGGGUUAACGCCCAGAAGAGCCGCAGUGAAUAGGCCCAAGCGACUGUUUAUCAAAAACACAGGUCUCUGCUAAACCGUAAGGUGAUGUAUAGGGGCUGACGCCUGCCCGGUGCUGGAAGGUUAAGAGGAGUGGUUAGCUUCUGCGAAGCUACGAAUCGAAGCCCCAGUAAACGGCGGCCGUAACUAUAACGGUCCUAAGGUAGCGAAAUUCCUUGUCGGGUAAGUUCCGACCCGCACGAAAGGCGUAACGAUUUGGGCACUGUCUCAACGAGAGACUCGGUGAAAUCAUAGUACCUGUGAAGAUGCAGGUUACCCGCGACAGGACGGA
rnacentral:rRNA from 1 species